ACUCCUACGGGAGGCAGCAGUGGGGAAUAUUGCACAAUGGGCGAAAGCCUGAUGCAGCAACGCCGCGUGAGCGAUGAAGGCCUUUGGGUCGUAAGGCUCUGUCCUUGGGGAAGAAACAAAUGACGGUACCCUUGGAGGAAGCCCCGGCUAACUACGUGCCAGCAGCCGCGGUAAU
rnacentral:rRNA from 1 species